CGGGAUGGUGGGCGGUGGUGGCGGCGGCGGCGGCGGCGGGCUCCUAGAGAAUGCUAACCCCCUCAUCUAUGAGCGAUCGGGGGAGCGGCCGGUGACGGCGGGUGAAGAAGAUGAGGAAGUGCCGGACAGCAUCGAUGCCCGGGAGAUCUUCGAUCUUAUUCGCUCCAUUAAUGACCCGGAGCAUCCACUGACACUGGAGGAAUUGAACGUAGUAGAGCAGGUUCGAAUUCAGGUUAGCGACCCGGAGAGCACAGUAGCAGUGGCCUUCACACCCACCAUCCCUCACUGCAGCAUGGCCACACUUAUAGGCCUUUCUAUCAAAGUCAAGCUUCUGCGAUCCCUUCCCCAGCGGUUCAAGAUGGAUGUGCACAUUACGCCGGGCACCCACGCCUCAGAGCAUGCAGGUUAGAGUGGGCUGGUGGGGCCCAAACUGUGGGAGGCCUCCCCAUUGCCACAGCAGUGUAUGGGGCAAGAUUAGGACUAGGGUACUAAGUGAAUGAAAUGGCCAGACUACAGUCUAGACCAAAGCUGGCCUGACUUAAAUCUCCUGCUUCCCAUGACCCUCCCUCCCGAAGUUCUCAAGUACACAGGGACAGAGACGGAAUGAGCAGUCCCUGGCCGUGACAGGUAUUCCUAGUGAAGAAGCUAGUUAUGGCACAGGCAGUAAAUAUAUCCUGAUCCAGGCUUGGAGUCCUGAGACGUCAGAAGAGAACCUCAUCGGUAGAAAUAUAAUCUAUACUGGGGCUAGCAGCCUGGCCGAGUUGUUUUAACCCUGUUUUUCCACCCUUCUUUUCCCACCUAGUGAACAAACAACUUGCAGAUAAGGAGCGAGUGGCAGCUGCCCUGGAGAAUACCCACCUGCUAGAGGUCGUUAAUCAGUGUCUGUCUGCCCGCUCAUGAGCCUGGCUUUUGACCACCAGCCUGCACACAGAGGUCCUGGCUUCGGCUCCACAAAAGGCUUCUGGCUUUGUUUUCUUGAAUCACUGACAAGGAGAAACUUAACACUUUUUAUUUUGUAAUAAACCCUUAAUUUAUAUUC
rnacentral:lncRNA from 1 species